GCGAGACUGGGCAGAGGAGGCCCAGCCGUGGCCUCAGGCCACCCCUGGGAACCCUGAAGUCAGCAGGGCCUUACAGGCUUGUCCUGACUCGCUCCAGGAUGGCCCAGCCCUUGUCCCCAUGCUGAUCUGUCUGUGGCCAUUGGCUGCCCUCUGGGCAGAGUGGCUCGCUCUCCAGAGCUGGGGCCUUCUCAAAAAAUGCUUUUUGCUGCAAAGCUGUCUGCAGAUAUUCCCAGGAGCAGGGGUGAGUCGUUUCUGGAAGGCCAAUCUGGGGAGCACCUCUGGGUGUCCACUGCUCUGGCUCUGAAAUCUGAUUCCCUGUGUGACCUUGGGCAAGAGGCUCAACCUCUCUGAAUCACAGUUCGUCCAUCUGAUGAGAGCGUAGAAUAACUGUCCACUCUGUAGUGUUACCAGGAGGAUUUUCAUUCUCGAGGUAGUGAAAGCCAUAGAAAGAGCUCAGUGAGUUUUUGUUUCUGGAAAUAAGAAAGUCAGGUCUGGCCUUGAGGGGACAUUUAUGCAAUCAUAUAGGUCCAGACAGUUAAGAUCCAGUGUGAGAGGAGCAUGAGUGAGGAGAUCCAGGGGCCCCUCAGGAGUGGCCCCGACCCUAUCUUGGGGACGCUGCCCACACGGCAAGGGACAUCAAAGCUGGGACCUGUGUGAUGAGCCGCAGGAGCCGUCCAGGCAGCGGGGCAGAAGCGUGGGGAGAGGAAAGGAGGUUUCAGGCAACGGGACUAACAUGUGCGAAGGUCCAAAGGAGGGAGCAAAGUGAGCGAUGGUGUCUGGAGCGGGAUGUCCAGGGAGUGGUGGGGACAAUGCAGCAGCCUCAGCCCGAGUCAUAAACACUGACCUUGGCAAAGGCAGAACUUUUCCAGAGGAGGUGCCUUACGUAGGCAUGGCCCACCCUGUUCUCCUGGUUGGCUGGGGCUGGAGCCAGGCAGCAGGGGUGCCCUGGGCCUUAGAGGUCAUGGGUGCUGGACAGAAUAGUGCCUUGACCUCCAAGGCCAGGAGGCCCUGGGCCCUGAGGUCUUCCUGCACACGUGGGCAGGGGAUGACCUGCCUGGUUGGGAACAGGGGACCCUCCUCUGCUAACCCUGAGCUUGGGAGGGAGAAGGGACCUAGGUCUUCCUUGGCACUUACUCUCAGCGCAGAAGUCAUUGGAGCACUAACCAGGGAGUCAGGAAAGCAGUGGGCUGUGUGGCUUUGAACCAGUCCCUCUGCUUCUCUGGACCCGGGUAUGGUUGAAGCAGAUGGUGCCUUCUUAGGAUCCCGCGGCUCUGGUUCCCCGAGUCUGAGGGAUUUUCUCUUUUCUCGUAGCUUCCCUCUGACAAAAUCCCGUCUCUUUGUCCUUUGAUCUUGCUUAUCUUUACUUUCUUCAAGGAGACCAUUUCCUAUUUUUCCUCCCUCUUGACCUCUUAAGGAGCUCUCAAGGCCGCUCUCACAGUCGGCAGGCCUGACGCCUCCUCUCCGCAGCCCCCUGAGAAGGAAACAGAAACAAUAGGAAUCACUUCCCCAGCAGCCCCGCUCCCCUGUCCGGAGGAGGCAUCGAGUUGUUUUUUGGCCGCUGCUGUUUUCCCCGAUCCCACCACACCCUCGGGCCUGCUCUCCCUCGUGACCAGGGCUCUCCACGGAAGGCCCCCAGAGGCCAAGCCCUGCCCUUUGCUCCAGCCCUGGCCGCCUUUGCCCCAGCCCUUGAGUCAGCUGCCUCCCAACCUUGUACUUGGACCUCUGCUUCUCUCAGAAGGCUCACCUUUGAGGCCGCCUCCUCCAUGCAACCUUCCCUGAUCUCAGCUGCUGGAACGAAUCGGUUCUCCUGGACACGCAGCCUCCCGCCUGUCCUGAGUCUUGGCCUCCAUUUUAAUCUGCUCUGGAUCACUGGGAACAAACUUGGGGCUCUGCCCCGCUGCUCCUUGUCCUGAAUGCGUAGACAGUGUGUGCGGGGACAAGGGGAUGGGAGGCUGACCAGGCAGCUCAGCGGUCUGGCCCUGGGGCUCCCCUAGGUCUGAUCUCGAAGUGAGUGGAGUUUGGCCAUGUGCUGCCUGGCCUGAUGCGGAGCGGCCAGACGGCCAGGGGGAGUUGUGGGUACAGUGGGGUGGAAUGAGUUCGGGGAGCUGGCUGGAGGCAUGGACGCGGGGGCAGGCCAUGAUGCCGGCCUUGGGGCCCACGGGGGUGAUGCGGCUGUCCUUCAGAGUGAGGUGAGGGCCCGCUGCGGGCUUUGAGCAGACAAGGGCAAGACCUGACUUCUGUGUUAAUAGGGCCCUACGGGGAGGAACUGUCACGAGCCCAUCCCGCGGAAGAGAAGGCUGAGGCAGAGAAGGUGAGGAGCCUGUCCUCAUUCAUACCACCUGAGGAUGUGACUGUCCGUCCUCGCAUCCCGCUCCCGCCAUCCCACUGUGCAGUUACGUGUCCAGCUCGCUUGUGUGGGGCAACACUCCCCCCAACCCCGGAACGCAGGCUCCACCGCAGCAGGGACGGUCAAGUUCACUGCUGCAUCCUCAGUGCCCCGUACGACACCUGUGACCCAGCAGCAGUUCCGUGAACCUUUACAAAGACAGACAUCCCAGAGGGCGGCAGCGGGCGUGCUGGGUGGUGGUUUCUGGAAGGCUCAGCAUGUGAGGUUUCCUGGGGAAUUCCUCGGACACCAAGCCGACCUGAGGUCACAUACGUGGGUUUCUGCUGGGGGCUUCUCCUGACCCCACCAUGGCACGUGUCUUGGAGAGUCAGAGAAGGAUGCUUGGCCGUGUGGUGUCCUUCACUUAUCAACGUCUCCCUUCUUUCACACGCUCAGCCUCUCACAGCUGUCCAUCGGGUGUUCCCCGAGCACCGCGCUGUGCCCAACACCAGGCCGGGAUGGCACACUAGCGACCGACCGUGCGGCGCCUGUCCUCGUGGACCUUGGCAGUGAGGGUGAGGGAAGGGGAAACUUUCGAUGGGUUCUUUGCACAGGGGGAGGGAGUGGUGUUGGGGUCUGUUCCACGGUGAAGAGUCUCCCUGAGCUGCAGUGGGGGCAGGGUGGGCCUGGAGUGGGGAGCAGGAGGCAGAGCCUGUCUCCAGGGCCAGGAGAGGGAGAGGGCUCCCGGCUGAGAAAGCGGAAGGACUGGACCUGCCAACGUGGGUGUAGGGGUGAGGGAAAGAGAGGAAUCAAAGAAUUCUCUCCGAUUCUGGCCUGAGCAACAGGGAAGGCUUUAGGGGUGGGGGUGCGCCGUGCGAGGGGAAAAGCAUAAGAAUGCCAAAAGUCUUUGGAGUUCAAGGCCAAGACCCUGUUUAUUUGUUUAAUUGUCACAAUGCCUCUUUGCUGGGCCAGAAAAUACAAUGUACAAGGCCAGGCCCCAGGGUUUUCUGCUGCAGCAGGGGCAUUUCCUGCAAUGUUGUUGUCAUUUCUACACUGGAACCCAGAGAGUCAUGUGAGCAGACCUUCCCCUGACCUUGGCCUCCUGGGGUGGGCAGGAACUCACUGUACACAGUCUCCCUGCUGGUGUCUCCUGGCACUGGGGUCUGCUGAAGGGCAUGUCCCAGGCCCUCCAGGUGGGUGGGCCGGGCGUGCCUCACAUGUGUGCAUGUGAAGUAGGGCUGUGCAGAGAAAAGUUAUGUGCAUGUCAAUAAAAUGCAUGCCCAGCUAGGUAUUUCUUUUUUUUUAAUUAUUUUUUAGAAUUUUUAUUUGUUUAUUACACAGAGAGAGACAGAGAGAGAGACAGAGAGAGAGAGCGUGAGCAGGGGAAGGGGCAGAGGGAGAAGCAGACUCCCCACUGAGCAGGGAGCCUGAUGUGGGGCUCGGUCCCAGGACCCUGGAAUCAUGACCUGAGCCAAAGGCAGGUGCUUAAUGACUGAGCCACCCAUGUGCCCCUCUGCUAGAGGUGUUUAACAUCACGUGGGAUUUAGUCCUCAUAACAGCCCAAUGACAUCGGUAUUAACCCCACUAUUUAAACAGGAAAAUGGAGCCAGAGAGGCCUCACAGAGUGCAUAAAGCCUUAGGGGAUACUGCUCAGGUCAGGUCGGUUCCAAGUCCUGCCUCCUUGGUCAUGCUUUUCUUUCCAGGGGAAACGGAAACACUUUUUCUGUUCUUCCCCAACUCCGCAUAUCAUAUUCUGAUUAUCCAAGUGGACUUUAUAGCAGACAGCCCUAAACCAGUUCCUGUCUUCCCCUUGGAGGGUCUGAGUCCCCCGUUUUUUCCCAAACUCAAGACAGAAGCUUCUAGCGUGACAAUGGGCCUUUUUACCUGAGCAAGGAGCUAACAUCCCCUGCUGGGUCUGGAUUAGCACGCUGGGGAGGCUGGAACUCAUUUAUGUCUGUGUUAGAUCACUGAGCAAGCCACUGCCUUAAAAGAGUGUGACUCUUUCAAGGGGGUGUUUGAUUGGUUUGGCUCUUAGGGACCAUGGCUCUGAAGUUCACCCCAAGUGUUGGGACCGAUCCGGCUCCUAGUCCCCGUAAUAAUCUCCCUGCUGCAUUGUAUCCUCUCAAAAGCUUUCAGAGCCUGUUCGAAGCCACUUAGUACCAAGCAGAUGAUCUCCCUAGACCAGAAUGUCAGAGGAGACAGAAAGGGAACCACUGACAUAAGGCUUGUGAGCCUGAAGUUGUGGCCUGUGGAUAUCCCAGAGUCAACAAAAAACAUACCUCCCCUCCCCCGUGAAUAUCACGCAGAGGACCCACGAAAGCUGUGAGAACUGCAGUGUCUCCGAGAGGGGCUGCAGGGGCUUCAAUUUGGAUCACAUCUCUCAGUCAAGAUUUUUUUAUACUGUACCAACAACGCCCCCAGAGGCCCAAGCUGCAGUCACUCACGCCAGCCCACGUCACCAAACGGAAUCUCCGCACCUCACCUAACUGCCGUUUCAACGUCUUCCAGAAAUGGAGUCUGAGUCAGGAAUUCUCUGCUUAGCCCCCAUCUGCAACCUGUCACGUGGGUUCUCUCCAUCCCCACCCCCACCCCAGGAAGGAGGAUCCAGGAGGGCCCUGGUAUUCCUGCUCUGUGUGUGUAAAGUUUUGAGUCCAGUGUUCCUCCGUGGGUCCGUGAAGACAGCUCUGGCUGGGUUUCAACAGGCUGUGCUGGUGUGAGUUCUCUGCUACGUUGAUGGGAUUUCUAGAGCAGGAUGGGGUGAACCCAGUUUUUAAAAUAAAUUAGCUGAUGCUGUCAGUGUUGUGCUUCAUUAUCUACUUUGAUAGGAACAUGAAAUAAGGAAAGUUCUGGAGAAAGAUCCCCCCACAUUUCCUCAUUCUCUCUGAGCAAGCUGUCCCCAGGUUCCUUGGACUGGACUAGCCUCAACCUUGGCCCACAGAGACUUGAAUAAGCACCAGCUUGGUUUGUAGCAACUCAAAGCUACAUCUCUAGGAUGACCCUUGCUCGCUUUAAAGUGCCUGCCUGAGGAAACUCAAGGCUGCCAAAAGAAUUUGCUCUUUGUUCCAGCCAACACCCAAAGACAAGGCCCCUGGCACGCUGCCAUAUUUGUGGGUCCACGGGAGCCGAAUCUGAUACGCUCCAGCUAGUGAACUCAGUCGGUUUCCUAAGGAUAAAGCCCCUUUCCCACUCUGUUGUGAUUUUUCACUUCCCUGACCAGCACUCUAGCUUCUCCCCUUAAAAUGCCCACUCACGUCUGUUCAAAUUGAAGUUAUAGUCAGUUAUGCUGGACUCUUUCUUUAUUGCAAUAGUCGUUACUGAUUAAAAUCUGUCCUUAGCAGUAUCCUUCAGUGUCUGAUUUUGUCCAACAUCUUUAACAACGUAAGUUCAGCUAAGGCCAUCCGAAGAAUCCCUUGGUUGCUUGAGUAAAGAAUGGAAGGGAGCCAACGGGUAGAAACCUCCAGUUUGAAGGCCUUCGGAUGCAGAAAUGGAUGAACACAUCAUCGAUCUUCUGACAUUGGGAGUCUACCCAAAGGUGGGCUGUGUCUCUGAUGAGGCAUAAAGCAUUGAAAACACCUCAUAGAAGCUGGUAGGAUAGGUUUUUGGUUUGUUUUGCUCCCCCAGAGUUUGGUACACAGCCAGACUCAUAUAAGUAGGAUAAUUUAAAAAUAUACUGUAAAAAUACUUUUAUUUUUGAAUUUUUGGAGUUUUUUAAAAAUAAGUAUUGAUUUUCAUGGUUCAGAAUGCGAAAGAUGUUUCCGUCUCUUCCUUGUUUCCAACCACUCAGUUUCUCUUAUCAGUAAAUACUAAUUUUUAGAUAUCCUCUGGAUGAAGUUCACGUUCUUUUACACAGUGAACUCCUUCUACGACCUGGACUUGUUCAUCUCCCCAGACCUCUCCCCACACUUAGCCUUUGCCCUUUAUUCUCCAGCCUGUACCAAACGUAGCGGCUCAGAAUGCUGUGUUCUCUGUGACCCGCUCCUGCUACCCUUUCAUCAGUUAGCGGAAGGUUUCUGGCCAGCCCGGCCCCAGCUUCUCUGUCGCAGUGGGGACCCGCUGUCCAGAGGCUCCGAGAGCCCUCCAUCGCACUCCGCCCCCCGUUCUCCUGAUCGCCCCGUUCCUGAGGUACAAUCCUAGUAGGCUCCUGCUUCCCGGAGAUCUGAGGCUCCUUAAUCAUCAUUAAAGGCUCAAGACCAGAGGCCAACACACAGUAGGGCUGGAUGAAAGCUGCUGUCUCCUGGACAACACUUGGCCAUUCUCCUUGUUCUCGAAACUGUAGCCUUUGGAAGUCCUGGGACUGGUGAUUGGAAACUGAGGCUUCACCUCCGUGGUGUGCGUCCCCAACCCCACGUCUAACAAAGGGGACGUGUCUCCUCCUGGAAGCCUGAAGGAGGUGCCCGGCUCACACACAAAUUACCCCUGGAGCUGGUGGUUCCCCUUCUUCCACUCUCCCUGGGCACGGCUGGUCACACUGGUGUGACCAGCCUGUGGGUGUGAGGUGGUAUUUUUUACUGUGAAUGAGUAAAACAGCAUUUUUGUUUCAUUUCA